rnacentral:lncRNA from 1 species
AUAUCAUAAAAACAGAAAAAAUAAGAAAAACAAGGGUAAAUUAUAAGAAUGGUCCCUGUAGUUUUGCAUAUUUUCAAUUCUGGUCUUUGUAUUUUUAAAUUAUGUGAUUUUGACUUUGUAUUUUACAUUUAUUGUCAAAUUAGUCCAAUUGAUAGUGAAAUUUAGAAUUUUGGAUGAAUUUUGAAUACAUGAACAACAUUUUUCUGGUGAUUUACAAUGGAAUUGGAUAUAUUACAGUAGGGUUUGAAUGAUUUAUCGUGAAAAUUGGGUGAAAAUGGGAGAAAAGUUCAAUUUUAUCUCUAAAAUACUGGUAUAUGUCAUAAAAGUAUAAACAAAUGUCCAAAAACAUAACGGCCGUUACUAAUUGGACUGAUUAUAACAAAAAAUAAAAAUAAAAACUUCUGAAUUUAAAAAUAUAAGGAUCAAAAUUUAGGACAAGUAAAAAUACAGGGACACUGUUUACAAUUUAUCCGAAAAACAAAAAAACCUGCCUCCAUCCACACACACACACACACUCUCCACUACCAAUAUAUACGUACCCACUUCUCCCUCUCUCCACCCAAUCUCACAACACCCAAAAAAUUGAGGUUUUGGCUGAUAUCUCCUCUCUCUCCGGGAGCCACCCUGACGCCGAUUCCUAGCUGAGGCGGCAGCGGAGAUCUAAGCUCUGUCAUAAGUAGAGAGAGCAAGGGGAUUUAUAGCUAUGAUUCUUUUGUUUCUGCUGCUUGAGGUCUUUGGGACUUUUGGAAACACUGGUGAUGCUGUGACCAGGAAGAGAGAGGUUGCUGCUUUUCUCGCUCAAACUUCACAUAAAACUACUGGUAAUUUCAAACAUGUUUUUUAUAUAACAAUUAUUAUGUACCAAAAAACAUUUUAAGGACAGCGACUAGUCGCGUCUAAGUGUCUUCCAUCGGUCUUAGGACCAAUUUUUGUUUUUAUAACUCAGUUUUGGUCGAGUCGGGUAAAGUUUCGUAUGGACAGACUCAACUCAAAAAUUAAUUGAUAGCACUUAAAAAGUUUCGAACUAAAGAAUUAAAAUGGAAUAGAUCUCCAAGUCUCAGGCUUAAAUCAUCAAUUUCACAGCUUGUUUUAUUAAGAUCCAGUUUUGUUUUCAGUGAACUUUUUUGGCAUUUAAUUAAAAAUUUAUACUUUUUCAGUUUCUUUUGACGAGAAGAGCUCGAAAAUAAAAAAUAAUCUAAUUUGAAAAAAAAUAUACUAAAUUCGAAAAAAAAUCAUUUUAGAUGGUUUUUCGGAUAAAAAUAAUUUCAUUCGUCUUGAGUAACCUUUUUUUCUAAAUUAGAUGACAAUUUUUAUGUAAUAAUUAUAAAUACAAUUUUAAUAAUUUAUUAAAAUUAUUGAGUUUACAAAAAAAGAAAUGUCUAGAAAUGUCUUUUUUCGUCAAUAAGUUUUUUUUUAAAUUAGAUAAUUAUUUUAUAUAUUUUUGAACUCUUCUCGUCAAGAAAAAAUAAAAAAUUUGUGGUAUUAGAGAGCUGCUUUUGUUCAGUGUAGUGACCCUAGUGGGCGAUGAUGGUGGUAUGGUGAUUUAUGCCGGAUGUCAAUGAAUUCAACGGCUGCUAUGGGCUGUGCUGUGAGUGACAAUCCAUUGGGAUGGGGUAGAGCUAGAAACAUCAAAUAAUAGAGAGAGAAGAGAACUCUAAAUUCCAUAACAUUUUGACAAUGUUAAUUUAUUAUCUGAUGUGAUAUAAUUUAUAAAUAUUUUUAGAUAUAAUUAAAUUAUUUAUUGAAUCUAUGUAUUAAUUUGAAAAUACGUCACAUCAGAUAAUAAAUAAAAAACAAUUAGAUAAGCGUAAUAUACAAUUAGAUAAGCGUAAUAUUGUUUGAUAUUAAUGUUGUUAAAUAAUGAGAAGAAGGAUUUUAAAUAAUGAUUAAUAAAUGUCCCCUUAUCCUUAAAUUACGACUCCAACAAUAACUAUACCUUGAGGCAAAACUGUAUUUUUUUUAUACUGCAAUCUCUAACUUAAUAUAUAAAUACAACUUAUGACAUAGUACGGAAGUUAAUAAAGAAGAGUAAAGGAAACACAUAAAUUAGAAAAACGUCCUAUUAAUCUAAGGAAGGAAUCUUCCUAAUUCCAACCGUAAGUAUAACACAACUUUCAAAGUACCCAUAAAAAAGCUCACACGUCGAUUUAUAGGAAGUAUUGGGAUCAUUUAACUAAAGAGCAAUUGGCAAAGCCUCAAAGCUAUGCAGAUUGCAUCCAUUAGUGUCGUCCCGGAGUUCCGAUGUUUGGAAUCAAUUCCUCUACACCUACCUUUCAAGUUAUCGAUAGAUCGAAAACAGAAAUAUAAAUGCGGGCUGAUAUCAAUAUUUACAGCAUGAAUUUUGUAAAAUCACCCAUUCUAGGUUAGGUGUAGUAGCAUGUGAUUUUAAAUGCAUUGAAUUUGAAAAAAUGACAGUAAAUCCAGGAACAGUCCCAAGGGGUCGCAGCCCCAAACUUUGACAAAUUUAUAAUAUUAAUCGCAUCUUAUUUCGAAUUCAAAAACUAUCUCUUACUAUUUACGGGUAAAAUCUAUUUGGGUUAAUCCAACGGCUGAGAUUUCAUCUAAAAUUAUUUUUUUCUCUCAAAACUAUAUUUCCAGUCUUUUUUCAAGAUGUUGAGCCCCACAUAAAUUCCAAUGGCAAAACUCUAAAAGUUAUGGCAUAUAUUUUAUCUAUUGAAUCAUUUUUUAGUAGAACCCACAUACAUAAAAAAAAUUUAUUUCUCCUUUAUUUCUCUCAAACUAGCAAUACUUUUUCAAAAUCAAUAUAUUUUCUAAUUUAUUUUUUAUUUUGUAGCAAUAUAUCUCUUCGUAUAUACAUCCAAUGUAUCUUUUAUCUGAUUUUUAUAUCUUAUCUGUUUUGUAAUUUGUAAAACUCUAACGAGUACGCCUAAGAGGUAAUUUUUUUUGAGCAGUGCCUAUAGGCAUGAGCAAUUACUAGUGCUCAAUAACGCAAUAUAAUUUUUGAUAUUUACAUGGUAAGUAUGCACAUCCCUAAUAAUUUAGUUUAAUGCCUCCAAAAUUUAAACAAAUAUUUAUCCUAGGCUCCGUUUGGAUAUGUAGAUUUCAAAUCAAGAAAUUUUAUAUUUUAUUUAAUAAAAAUAACUUACAUUAAGAUUUAGUAGUCGACGUAGAGAUUUCGAGCUUGAAUUUGAGAGUUUUAUUAUUAUGUAAUAUGAUGAAUUUAAAAUAACAAAUUAAUAAGAGAGAUUUAAAAUCUUUUAUACAAAUGCUUAAAAUACCCUUCCCAAAGAAAAAGAAAGAAAUAAAAGUGUAGUUGUAUGAGAAGGAAUAAUUCCGGUAAUGAGCAAAAAUAUUAAGGAUAUUAUUGUAAUCUUACAUAUAAAAAUAAAAAAUAUUUAAUAAAAAGUAUAGUGCAUAAAUCCCUAACCUAUUAAAAACUAAUAAUUCUUCUUAGGUAAGGACCUCUUGUACUGAAGAUUUGAAGCUUCUAGCUUGAUUUUUUCUCACAGCUUUGUGGUCAACUCUCACCAUUCCUCCUUUCGCCUCCCCAUACGUUUUCUUACAUUUUGGUCCGUAAUACAUGUGAAUACACAUUGAUGAAAGUCGUCAUUCACGUAGCCGCCCGAGUAACUAUUCUCAGUCUAUGAGUACAAUAUGUAUACACGGGUGUACUGUACGUAACAUUUUUACAACCUGACAUUUACAAUAACACUAAAUCAUAAAGAUUAAAGACAAAAAAUUCACACAACAAAACCCAGAAGAAUUCAGUGUACAGACUUUCUAAAAUUCUUUUGAUUUUCAGAAUUUAUUCAAAAAAAUAUGUUCAAACUCCAAAAACUUAUUAAAUAUCAUUGCAGUCUAUGUACCGGUUGAGGAGGAAUUUUGCGUAACCUUUGUGUGCAGUACGUCAAAGACGCCAAUACAGCCUCCCGAGAACGUACAAUAGAAUGAGUAUUGACUUGUCAGAUGUUCAGAUUUUACACAAUUUGGAUACAGGAUACAGCGUUACAAGUUCUUUCCAGCCAGCCGGUUUGGUACUGAGUUUAGCUCCUAUGGCGUCGAUCCGAAUAUAUUUUGCAAAUAUUUUGAUGAUACAUAUUUCUAUCUUAUUGCUCUUAAUGGUAGUAGUAAUUCAAGUAUGUUAGUUCAUCUCAAAAUUAUUCCAAGAGUCACAGCCAUUCUCACAAGGACACAAAAAGAAACACGAAAUAUUUGGGACUGCCAACAAGAAACCUUCAACACUGAAGGAUCAAAAAAUGGAAAACCGUUGUUCAGGUGUGUAUUAUUUUGUAAAUGCUCUUAGUAAUGGUUUACAACAAUUUUGUUAGGGCGUCUAAAAAAUGCUACCGUAAUAUAGUCCUUUCAUGGCCGCAUUAAUUAAAAAUACAAUAAGUGCAUUAAAACUUAGAUUUAUUACAAAAAUGUGCUACAAGCAAAAAUGUAUGUUCAUUUUGAAUAUUUACUAUGUCAAUGUGUGUAAAAAAUUGGGCUAGUUGACAAUAAUUGUUUUGACAUUGUGUUGCAAAAGCAUUUGUUUCAAUUUUGUAAAAACUAUUGCUAGCAACAAUUUUUGACUUUGAAAAUUGAUUCCAAGUUUUGAAAACAUAAUGUUAGCAACAUUUUCUGACUUGAAAUUUGGUUCCAAGUUGAAAAAUAUGUUAACACAAAUAAAGAGAACAAAUUUCUGACUUGAAAAUUUGGGUUCCAACUUUCUGACAAAUUGGAUAGGCACCUAUUUUCUGACUUUGCAAAAUUUGGUUCCAACUUCUGAAAAAAAUUGGAUAGCAACAAUUUACUGACUUUGAAAAAUGUGGUUAACAGAGCUGAGCGUGUUGAAAUUGGUAUAAUAAUUUCCUGACUUUGAUAUAAAUGUGGUUGCAUACUUUUGCCAAAAAUUGAAUAGCACCAUUUUUCUCAUUUUCGACUUUGAAUGUGGGUUGGAACUUUGAAAAUUUGGUACAGUAUAAUUUUCUUUCUGACUUUUGAAAAUGUGUGUGUGUGGCCAACUUUUGAAUUAGAGAAUCAAAAAAAAAAUAAAGAAUAGCAACCCAUUUCUGACUUGACAUGGUAUUUUCAAAUUUGAAAAUUGGCGUAAGAAAACUAGCAAAACUUCAAAUUCCAUCUUACCAACUCGGUUAUAGUUCUUCCUAGAAGCUAUAAAAUCAUAUCCUUUACGCUCUCAUUUUUUAUCUUGGAAUCUUAUGGAGAAUCAAAGAACUCAAAGCAUUCUUCAUUCUUCAUUUUCCAAAAUUCCCCUUUGAGCCUUCAAUUUAUUCAUACAAGAGUUCUCGUGAGAGAGACAUUGUAAAAGCUUCAUUUGUAUAUCCUUCUCAAAAGGAGAAUUGUUAUUGUGAGAGAAAUCUCAAAUCUAUUUCAGUCGAUUGUAUCUAGAGGGUUGUUUUGACCCUGUUUAGGUGUGAAGGAAAUUUUCCACCUUGUGAGAAGAGUGUGUACUCUUGCGUGUAAGGUUUGAACUCCACCUGCACAGGAGUUUGGCGGAUUAGUGUUGAUUGAAAUCUUCAAGUGUUGUGCUUUGGGAGUGACGUAUGUCAGGAAGACCGAACCACUAUAAAUUAUAGCCGAGUUUUGAUCUCUUUCCUUCUCGUUGUAUUAGUGUGCUCAUAUUUAUACGCUCGGUGCAUUAUACUGCUUUUUAUAUCAUUUGGAAACUCUUAAUUCAGUAUAAUUUAUUAAAAGAAAAGUUUUGCCAACAAACCCUAUUCCCCCCCCUCUAGGGUUAAUUUCUGGGUAACAAGUGGUAAUCAAGCAGGACUCUACAUUUUUCGGUAUCUAAAACGAUCUAGGAUUAAAAAGAUCUAUGGCCACAUAAUAGGAACACAUAUGGCCGAAUGCCAUUCCAUACAUAGACUCUGCUUUCCACUUAUUCGUCCGGAUAGUAAUUUAUAGAUUAUUGUGAAGGCUAGAAUUAAAAUUUUAUAUUCAGUGCCAAUGAUUAUGCAUGUUUGUCGAGCAUUAACAAAGCAUGGACCUAUUGCGUCCCACAAAAUAACUGAAAGUGGAGAGUGGUUACUAUAAACCUCAAAGAAUGGACUAUCGUAGAUACAAAAGCACAUGUAACAAAAUAAUGCUCAAGCCAACUUACACCACUUUUUAUAUUGUGCCUUACAGACGUAACGCAUUAAAUAAAUCUCCGGUGGUGAAACGGCUAAGGAAAUUGUUGGGAUAAGACACGUAAGAAUCCACCCAUGCGAACUGGACCAUCAAGUAAAAGGAAUCAAAAAUAAGUAUGUUAGGUUCAUUAAUACGAAUUUUUAAAAAUGAAUCAAGUGAUACUAAUGUAUCUGCAAUGUGUUCUACCUCGUUUUUUUAACCGAUAUGAUGUGUUCAUUAAUGGAGUGUAAGAGUCGCGCUGUAAAGUUUGUAUACAAUGUCGAAAUGGUGCGAGUAAUGCAUUGCUUAGGUGUCAUUAUCCACAAGAAGUUGGGAGACCAAACGUAUACCUGCCAUUGAAGAAUGCCAAAAGUAGCCCAUCACCAAAAAUGGGUCUUGAUGAAUUGGCUUGGAUCUCUCAUACACUGAAAUCACCUUGAGAGCAAUGAGGAAAAUGACGAAGGUAAAAAAAGAGAGAAAUUGCUUUCAAACCUCAUCAGCACAAACAAUGAUGAACCUCAACAUGAAUGAGGAAGUGAUGAAGAUAUGGCUCUCUUAAACGAAGAUUUACAGAUUUCAAAAGAGGUCAUUUCCUAGAAGACAAGGACGACCGAAACUUCGACAAAAAUGAAGACAAAAGAAGGACCCCCCAUCAUUUGCUUUGAAUGCAAAAAGCCCGGUCACAUGAAAGUUUGAUUGGCCAAAUCUCAAGAAAGAUCAAACGAGAUAGAGAAAUAUCAAAUUUGAAAAAUUCAAGAAGCUUUUCGGCUUGGGGAGAAAUUGACGUUGACACAUCCGAUGAUGAGUCCGGUGAUUCAAGAAGUGGCAAUUGUGUUCUUGUUCCUCAAGAAGAUAUAAAAAUGAGGUACAAUCUCGAAUCCAUUCCUUAAAUGAUUUACAAGAUGAUUAUGAUGAUUUAUAUUAGGGAAUCAUUGAAAUUAAUAACAAACAUUGCAUGCUUUAAAACAAUUGCCAUCACUUUCUAUUGAAAUAGAAACCUUUUGAAGAAGCUGGCUAAUGAGUGACAAGUAAAUAUUGAACUACUGAUACAAUUUUAGAUCUAACAAAAUGUCUUGGAAAAAUUUACAAAAGUCAAAAGAUUUUGGAUCUACUUCUUGGAUCACAAAGAUGUGUAUAUGAUCCGUGCGGGAUUGGACACAAUAUUCAACUAACAAAAUUAUAUAAAUAUCUUUGUGUGAAUCAACUUCUUUUUCGACCACAAAAAUUUCAUGCACAGAUUGCAAUCCUAAGGGCAUACUCAAAAACAUGCUAUGUGAAGAAUGUGUUAGGUAAAGGAUUAAAAAACAAUAUGGGGACCUAAGAAGAAAAAUGCUACUAACAUUCAAGGACCCAACCAGAUUUGGGUACCAAGACAAUGGUUGAUCUUGUAUAAGGUUGCUGAAUGAAUUCAAAGAAAGGAGGAGGGGGGGGGGGGGGGGUGGUACUUGUAGUGGAUGCUCAAGACAUUGACUCGGAGAAUAAAUCCACCUUUCGCAUACUAAUCCAAAGGAUGUGGAUUUGUGACCUUCGAGACAAUAGCAAGGAAAAAUCUCGUAUAGUUAAUGGGGUAGGAACCUUCUCCUUUAUAUAAAAUGUUUACUUGUUGAUGGAUUAAAGCAUAACUUUACUUAGUAUUAGUCAUAUGUGAUACGGAAAAUAAAGGCAUCUUUGACAAAUAUGUGCCCAUAGAAAAAUAUCAAAGAUGAUAAAACUUAUUUAAUUGUCAAAGAAUUGAAAUGUAAUUUUUUUUGUUAAAAAUUGAUGACGUUGAGCCAACAAAUGGACUUGCUUAUCAGCCAUGAAUGACAAACGGUUGGCUAUGGCCAUAAAGGCCUUGGGCAUUCUCUAUAGAUCUUAUUUCAAAACUUGCUAAAAGGAUUGGUAAUUGGGCUAACCAAAAAUUUCUUUUGAAAAGAUAGUUGUGUGGAGCAUGUCACCAAGGACAACAAACAAAGUGUCUUUUAAGUCAAAAAUAUCGUUUCUUCUCUCUCUUCUAACAUCUAAGGCCUCUACAACUUCUACACACAUGGACCUUAAUUGGUCCUUCAAGACAAUGAAGUUCGUGAGGAAAUUAUACAUUCUUGUGAUUUGUGAUGAUUUUUUCUCGAUUUACAUGGUAACAUUUUUAGCUCACAAAAAUUAAGCAUUUUCCUCAUUUCACAAAAACUUGCCGACGUCUCAAAUGAUAAAGAACUAAGACCUCAAAAUUUCUACAUUAGAACCGAUCAUGGGAAAGACUGAAAUUGAGUCUUUUUGCCAAAUUUUGUGAUAUCUCGGAUUGGACUAAUUUCUCGGCACCUAGGACCCCUCAACAAAAAGGCUUGUUGAAAGAAAAAAUAGAACUUUGGAAGAAAUGGCAAGAACAAUGCUUUGCGAAAACUCUCGUCCAAAAUAACUUUGGGCUUAAAAGCUGUGAACACGCAUGCUUUAAUUUAAUCGAGCCAUGAUUUAGGCCAAUCUUAAAAGACACCUAUGAGCCUUUGGAAAGAAGAAACCAAAUAUUGGGUUCUUUCAUUGCUUUGGAUGCAAUGCUUAUGUCCCUAAAUAUGGGAAGGACAACUAGGAAAAUUCGAUCAAUCGGAUGAAGCUUUUUCUAGGAUAUUCAAUUACAACACAGCUUUUUCGAGUUUUUAACAAACGAACUUUAGUAGUUGAAGAAUCCUGCAUGUUGGUAUUUGAUGAAUAUAAUGAUCCUUCUUUUCAAGUGCUUCAAGAAAGUUAGGAAUUGAAAAGCAUGGAAAAUAUUGAAAUCUCUCAAGAACGCAGAUACUCAAGGAGAAGCCACUGAAAAACAAAUUGCAACUAGAGGUAGUACUUACCUCAAAUUGAAAAUCACGUGGGAAACCUCAAAAGCAAAGAAGGUGGAAGCUCACAUCUCCCAAAGAAUGGAGAUAUGUUUUUCACAACCACCAACAAUCUCAUUAUUGGUGAUCCAUCAAAAGGGUAACUACUAGAACUCUAUAAAAUUUAUUGGGCAUCUUGCAUUCUAUUCUCAAUAGAACCUAAAAUUUUCAUGAAGCUGAAUUUGAUGAAUAUUGGCUUCUAGCUAUGCAAGAGAACUCAAUCCAUUCGAAAGAAAGCAAGUUUGGACUCUAGUACUAGGCAUCAAAUCAUCCUCAUAUUGGCACUAAAUGGUAUUUAGAAAUAAACUUGAUGAAUCCGGAAUCAUUGUUAGAAAUAAAGCUAGACUUUUGGCCCAAGGAUAUAGUUCAAGAAGAGGAAUAGAUUUUGAUGAUAAUUUGCUCUCCCGUAGCUAGAUUGGAAGCUAUUUCGAAUGUACAGCCUUUGCAUGCUAAUAUGGACUUCAAUUAUAUCAAAUGGAUGUAAAAAGUGCAAUUCUUAAAUGGAUUUAUUACCGAGGAAGUGUUGUGCCACCUCGCCGGGUUUGGAGAAUCAUGAAUUGCCCAAUCAUGUCUUUAACUUUCAAAGCACUCUAUGGACUUAAGCAAGCUCCAAGACGUGGUAUGAAAGACUUAGCAAAUAAUUUAAAUGAUACUAGUUUUUGGCAAGAGGGAAAAUAGAUAAUACACUUUUUAUAAAAAUUGAAGAAUAAGGACAUGCUCAUCGUCCAAGAUAUGUUGAAUGAUAUUAUAUUUGGUGCUACUAUGAGAAUAUUGCAAAGAAUUUGGCUAAAGAGCAUGCAAAGGAGAAUUCGAUGACAUAUUGGGGAGGCUAACUUUCUUCCUUGGACUAACAAAUCAAACAAUCAAGCGAAGGGACAAUUUAUAAUCAGCAAAUACACAAAGGAGCUUCCUCAAGCGUUUGGCAUGAUAGAAGCAAAACCGCUAGGCACCACCGAACCCCAUAUGGGCACAUCAAUAAGCCUUGACAAAGAUGAAAUGGUAAAAAUGUUGAUGAACAAGCCUCUAAUCGAGGUAUGAAUUGGCUCUUUUGCUCUAUUUAAAACAAAACGGAAGUAGGCCGGAUAUCAUGUUUUAGUGUAUGCCAUAUGUGCUAGAUUUCAAUCAUGUCCUAAGGAAUCAACUUUAAGUUUGCUGUGAAACGCUAUUUAGAUAGCUCAUAGAAACGUAUGACUUAGGAAUAUUCAUCCUAGGGUAGUUGCAUUUGAAUUAAAUGAUUCCUCCGAUGCCGACUAUACGCCGGAUUGUAGAUAGAUCGAAAGAGCACAAGUGGCACUUGCAUUCCUAGGACACUCUCUAGUGUCAUGGUCUAGCAAGAAACAAAAUUCCGUUGCUUUAUCAACCGCCGAGGCGGAAUAUGUGGCCGCGGAAGUUGUUGUGCCAUUCCUUAUUGGAGGAAACAACAAUGGAGGAGUAUGGUUUAAUUUGAUCAUAUUCCCAUCAAAUGUGAUAAUACACGUGCUAUAAAUUUUGUCUAAGAGCCCCAAUUAAUACAACACUCAAAGAACAAACCUAUUGAAAUUCGACAUCUCAUUUUUUAAAGAUCACGUCCCAAAGGGGGAUUUGACUUCAAUAUAUUCCUACCGACAAGCAUUGGCGGCUAUUUUUAACAAAACCCCUUGAUUGAAAAAAGAGAUUUUGCUAUAUUCCGAACUGAACUGUAAUGGUCUAAACCAAGUGAUAUUUUUGGAUCUUAAAAUAAAUUUAUAAGUAUAAGUUGAGUCAUAGUUGAGAAAGAAUAGUUCGGGACUGAAUGUAUUCAAUGCCUAAUCUCCGACAAACAAUUUUUUUCCUUUCUUUGAAUUGUUAUCUUGAUUUGAUAUGUGAUAAAUAAGAUUAUCAAAAAGCUGAGGUACUGAUAUUAUGAUAAGAACUAUGAGAUCUCUAUAUGCUUAUAUGCGAAAAUGUAAGUAUGUAAUGUCUGACAAUGAGAGUUGUUCUUUAUUUUGAUAAAACUAUCCCUUUUGAUAAUUUCAAAACUCCUCUAAAUGAAAGAAUUUUAAGAUUUGAGGUUUUAGUGCAAAAAUCUUUUGGUUUAUUCACCACUCAAAUUAUCUUUCGUUAAACAUCCUAUGUGUUUAAUUGGUAUCUAAUACUAGCAUGUGAGAUAACAAGAAAAUAUUCUUGGUCAAAAAUUUUUUAAAAAAACUCCUUCAUUAUGUUUUCAUAUGUGAUUGUUUGAUUAGUUGAAAUACAUGCAUAUCAUCAUACUUAUGCACCAACUUAGGGGAGCACUACAUAUUGGUACCACUUUGGUAGGGUAUCCUACAUUUACCUUCAUUGAAAUUAGACAUCAUAUCUUUAUUUCGUGAUCCUGUCAAAAAGAAGAUGUAGACCUAGAUUUUAUAAGUACUGGAUUUCAAUGGGUUGACAUCUUCAUAAAACCACUUCAAGAGAUCGUUCUGCAACCAUUCGAAGAGACCUUGGUAAAUGUGUAGACCACAAAUAUUAACAUAAUAUUUUAGGUUAUUUAUUUUAUAUUUUUUUAUAUAGAAUAAUUUACUAUUAUUCUGAAUCAAAUUACCUGUUUAAGUUUUCAAGAAAAUCUUAGCUUUUUCGGACUUCAACACGAACUCUCCUGGUUGCUCUUGUAAGACGGUUUUUAUCAUCUCUAGUUUUCUGAAUACUCUUUUUCCAUAUCAUUAGCAUAUGAUCGACAUUUCUCUUCACUCUUUAUUCCUCCUGCUGAAGACUUCUUUCCUUCGUUGCAAGUUUCAAACUUGAGAGUCCUUAGCUCUUGACUGCAUUUCCCUCGACUUGUAACGUCGAGCCAUAAUUUGCAACGAAGAUGCACCCUGGAUUACUGAGUGCCAUAGGAGUCCUUAAUGGCUUCAAUAUCAAUUCCAUAUUCCUCUAUAACUUUUCCAUCUUGUGGAGUACUGAUUCCUUUAGGCUAACUGAUGCAGCAAACUGCAUCAUCCGCAUCACAGAGCCAUUGUUAUGAUAGGUCUUUUUUGAGAUAAGGGUUAAUGAACGCCAGAUUCUGGUUGUACAUUAGGCAUAUCAUUCACGAUCAAAUUUCUUUUUGAGAAGAAGAAGAAGCCAUUUUUGAAAACUAAGAAAGAAACUGGUUCAGUAAAUGAAAUUGUUCUUCAAAAAGAACCGAAGGAGAAAGAAGAAGAGAACUAAUUUUUGGGAUCUAGGAAAGAGAUUUUUUCAGACAAAUAUAGCCUAAAAGUCGUCCUCUGUGCACAGCCGCACCUACCAUUGACAAACCAAUCCUAGAUUACGAUUUUAUUUUUAUUUUUUAUUUUUAUUUUUAUUUUAUUUUUAUUUUUUAUUUUGUUAUUUUUAUUUUUUUAAUUUUUUAUUUAGAUCACAUGCGUCAUCACAGCGUUCACUCGCACCUAUUGCCCCUGUCAAUCUCAUCUAUAAUUCACUUGUCUUCUCUCUACCAACGCAUAUUUCUGUUCUCAAUUCUUCAUACUCUGAAAGCUAAAAAACUUUUUCUUCCUAGUUUCAGCCUAUCAAUCUCUUCUUAAGAGAAAGAUUAGCAAGCGCAUCUAAUUCAUACCAUCUAAAUUCUAUAAGAAAGAUGCAACAUCACAAUUGAUUCCAACAACAGAA